UAACAAUCCUCUUCAGUCAUUUGUGUCACCCCCUUUCACCUUAUCCAGCGAGAGACAAUCUCAUAUGCGACCAAUGAUUCCCCCCCAAAUAACGACUGCCGACUUGUCUAGAUUUCAGGGGCAGAUUCCCCCCCAAAUAAUGACUGCUGACUUGUCUAGAUUUCAGGGGCAGAUUCCCCCCCAAAUAAUGACUGCUGACUUGUCUAGAUUUCAGGGGCAGAUUCCCCCCCAAAUAACGACUGCCGACUUGUCUAGAUUUCAGGGGCAG
rnacentral:lncRNA from 1 species